AGCAUUUUGACAACAUUUGGCCAAACUGGAAAGAUGGCAUGAAUAAUGCCUUAAAAGACGAUAUUUUGGAUAUUGAAAAAUAUUUUGAUGAAACAAUCGGUGCUGUUACAGACCAGCUUUACACUUGGUUGUCGAAAUCAGAAAUUGUUCAUGAUCAAGUCAAUGCAUGGGGACGUUGGAUUGAAAUCUGGAGUCAGUUUACGUUGGAAAGCUUUCUUGAAAGUAAUAUCGAUGUAAUCAAAGCUAAAGCCUGUUGAAGAUAAAGCAGACUUGGAUUUAGUUAAGCUUGGAAAUCUUUUGCCAUGGUCGAAUGAUGCUGUUCGUGGUUAUUCUGUAUUUUGCUAUACGGAGCAGCUUGAUCAGUCACUUGGAUCCUAUCUAAAUUUUGAACUGGGAAAAUGGUGUUCUAGUGAAAUGCAUUGCUUGAAAGGAGGGAUGCAUAGUUUGCCGAGAGCGUUUUUCAACGAUGAAGGAUUGAGUACGGAUGACAUAGAAUGCAAGAAACAGGUCUUCGAAAUAAAUUACUGGUAUCAAGAUGAGUAUCCUUUGAAAGAUAUAGUUGACGUGUUGUAUUAUUCAAUUAGCGAUGCGCCAAGUGUAUAUAAUGCGAAGGACUGGUUAUACUUGUCAAUCACCAGGACAAUUUUCAAAUGACUGUUUAACUCAAUGAUUUUCACUUUCAU